rnacentral:rRNA from 1 species
UACAGAGGUCUCAAGCGUUGUUCGGAUUCAUUGGGCGUAAAGGGUGCGUAGGCGGUGAGGUAAGUUGGAUGUGAAAUCCCGGGGCUUAACCCCGGAACUGCAUUCAAUACUGCCUUGCUAGAGUACUGGAGAGGAGAUUGGAAUUCACGGUGUAGCAGUGAAAUGCGUAGAUAUCGUGAGGAAGACCAGUGGCGAAGGCGAAUCUCUGGACAGUGACUGACGCUGAGGCACGAAGGCUAGGGGAGCAAACGGG